ensembl:lncRNA
AUCUCUAUCUGGUGAUUACUCCUCUUGGAGCCCUUCUGCGAGCCGAGGACAUGGAACUCACAUGUUGGGUGUACUGAAACAUCAAAGUAAUUCCCAAAACUACUUUUUGUUUGGUUAUGAAACUUCUGGGAGGAAACCUCAGUUGGUGAGAGAGGCUGGCAUUAAAGGUGUGAUUUGAGCAGUCAAAUACAGCAUGAGCAGAGCCAGGAUGCUAAGGAAUGAAUGAAACAUCUUUAUUCUUCACACUGUACAGCUUCUGUUAGGGAAAUGCAUUGUCUUGAUGGAUGCCUUCAAGUCCAGUCACCUCUUCGUUUUCCCUGAAGGAGCAUCAGGAUAAGUUGUGUCAUUACAAAAAGGGAGCUGACCUCUUUUCCACUUGAUAUCCAUGUAUUUUGGUAGAAAAGAUAUAGGAGCUAAUUAGAGAUUCAUGCUGUUUCCAGAUCUGUCCUGCAACAGGACAAAUGAGGUGACGUUUCUUUGACUGCCAAAUAAAAACGAUAUUUAUUUCACUUACAAUAUAACAUUAAUUGGAACUGGAUUAAAUUUAUUAGUUGCAGGUAUGUUGUUACUGGCACACAACUCUUGUAUUGCUGAAUGUAAAGUAGCUGGCAGAAUUGCAAAGGCGUAAAUUCAAAGAAGCUUGUGAAUGUAGAUAUAACUUUAUUUUGACACAUGAGAAUGUCUUCUCAAUUCUUAGAACCUUUUCUCCUCCAGUAAUAUUCAUUAACGAACUUCACCUUAAAAUUCAUUGUGGUUUUCCUAUUUCUUAAUUUUAUUUCUUGUUCAUGCAUGUUUGCAUACUGGUCAUGGCUUGAAACAGCUUUUUGGGGUUUACGUGAACUUCUGACUUACAAGUAUUCUUCUUAGUUCUUUUUUUCCCCUCCUCCAUUUUUUCACCCCACUCCCCUCCCCCACAUCCUUCCUCCUUGUUUACAGCAGCAAAGUUCCCUUGCUUCCUCCUUCUCUGUCCCCUAUUCCUUUGCACUUGUAAUGCCCUCAUACCUGGGAUUCAUAUCCUAUCGGCAUCCAUGCCUUCUGAUCAUUUCCUUACAACUGUAAAUCACAUUUUAAAAGUUUUAUCCACCACUACACACAGAUCACUGUGUUCUGCACUGUAUUAUUACUGAAUCUAUAAAUAAGGGAAUAAAUCAUUGAUUUCUGACUUAGAAAGUAUGUGCCAUGACAUACGAAAAUAUAUCAAUUUUUAAUUCAUUUCUGAAGGUGACCCAAAGGAAAACGAUCACAAUGAAAGUAAAAUAGAAAUACGCAUAUAAUAUAGUCCCUGAUGAGGUAUUAUAUUUUAAGAGCACCUCCAGGAUUUACGAUUUCAUAUUUCUAAUUUGCAUAUGUCAUAUAUGUUUUUAAUUUGAAAUGAUGUUAUUUCAGUCACGUAAAUAAAUUCAGUGGGUACUGCUGCCAUCUCCUGGUCAAUAUAUAAAAUAAAAACUGAUUUAAAAAAUUAAAUCUAUGACGUUUAUGUAAAUGAGAAUUUCAAGGUGUUCACUGCUAAAGCUGAACUCAAAAAUCAUGUUUCAACUUUCAGUAUAGGACCCUGGAAAAUGAGCAGAAUGAUUUUUGUGAUUAUAAUCUAGAAAUGCUUGUAUUUACAAGUAUAGUACUUUGCAAUUGCAAAAAUGAAGGCCAUCUGGUGACUCGUGGAACCUUUCACAGAUAAGUUUAUGAUAUAUAGCCAUUUUUCUUUGUUUUUCUUCCCCAACCAAUAGUUUUAUUCCUUUUAUUUUCUUCUGCCAAUAUUUUUGUUCUAAAAGAAGCUAAAUGGGUAAAAUUUGUAUUUAUUGCUGAGAUAGUUUGAGGAUGAUCUAGUUGAGCAUCCUUGUUAAUCCCUGUUCAUGUUUGUUGUUUUAAUAGAUUGAGUGACUUUUCUUCUGUUUCAGAGCAAAUUUCGCUGCUUUAAAUGAAUUUCAAAGCUAUUUCUGAGCUGCGUGCUUUCUAGCAUGCUCCAAACCCAUUAAGGCACAUGACAAAAACUCAUAUGAAAAAAGAUGUUUGUUAUUUUUCUCACAGUCUGUAGUAAUGGCAUAUCAUGCAAAACUAAGAUAUUCUUACUUUCUGCUUAUCUUUUUAGUAUGUUUACCUCUUUUGAAACAAGAAAGUGGAAAAAAAAAACACAAAAUAAUUGUCAUUAAUUUCAUUUACACAAAGACUGUUUUAAUCUGUGUUUUAGGCCAGUAGAUGCAUGCAGGGUCUCAGAACUAGUUCUGCUAUCAAUCUUUAUUUUCCAGUUCCUGAGAACUUUAAUAAAGUUCAUUUUUAAUGCACAGUUGUUACAAUGAUAUUUGACUUCUUUGCAACAUAUAAUAAGCUGUUUAACAUUAAGAUUAGUCAGCUGAGAUGACUCAUGCAUACAAUG